rnacentral:rRNA from 1 species
UACAGAGGUCCCAAGCGUUGUUCGGAUUCACUGGGCGUAAAGGGUGCGUAGGUGGUUGGGUAAGUCUGAUGUGAAAUCUCUGAGCUCAACUCAGAAACUGCAUUGGAUACUAUCCGGCUAGAGAAUCGGAGGGGGGACUGGAAUACUUGGUGUAGCAGUGAAAUGCGUAGAUAUCAAGUGGAACACCAGUGGCGAAGGCGAGUCCCUAGACGAUUUCUGACACUGAGGCACGAAAGCUAGGGGAGCAAACAGG